rnacentral:rRNA from 1 species
UGGGGAAUAUUGCACAAUGGGCGCAAGCCUGAUGCAGCCAUGCCGCGUGUGUGAAGAAGGCCUUCGGGUUGUAAAGCACUUUCAGCGAGGAGGAAGGUGGUGAGCUUAAUACGCUCAUCAAUUGACGUUACUCGCAGAAGAAGCACCGGCUAACUCCGUGCCAGCAGCCGCGGUAAUACGGAGGGUGCAAGCGUUAAUCGGAAUUACUGGGCGUAAAGCGCACGCAGGCGGUUUGUUAAGUCAGAUGUGAAAUCCCCGGGCUCAACCUGGGAACUGCAUUUGAAACUGGCAAGCUAGAGUCUCGUAGAGGGGGGUAGAAUUCCAGGUGUAGCGGUGAAAUGCGUAGAGAUCUGGAGGAAUACCGGUGGCGAAGGCGGCCCCCUGGACGAAGACUGACGCUCAGGUGCGAAAGCGUGGGGCAGCAAACAGGAUUAGAUACCCUGGUAGUCCAGCGCUGUAAAACGAUGUCGAUUUGGAGGUUGUGCCCUUGAGGCGUGGCUUCCGGAGCUAACGCGUUAAAUCGACCGCCU